GUCAAAAAGAUUAAGUUAUUAAGGGCGCACGGUGGAUGCCUUGGCACUAGAAGCCGACGAAGGACGUUACUAACGACGAUAUGCUUUGGGGAGCUGUAAGUAAGCUUUGAUCCAGAGAUUUCCGAAUGGGGAAACCCAGCACGAGUUAUGUCGUGUUAUCGAUAUGUGAAUACAUAGCAUAUCUGAAGGCAGACGCGGAGAACUGAAACAUCUUAGUACCCGCAGGAAGAGAAAGAAAAAUCGAUUCCCUGAGUAGCGGCGAGCGAAACGGAAGAGCCCAAACCAACGAGCUUGCUUGUUGGGGUUGUAGGACACUCUAUACGGAGUUACAAAAGAACAGACUAGACGAAUCAUCUGGAAAGAUGAAUCAAAGAAGGUAAUAAUCCUGUAGUCGAAAGUUUGUUCACUCUUGAGUGGAUCCUGAGUACGACGGAACACGAGAAAUUCCGUCGGAAUCUGGGAGGACCAUCUCCCAAGGCUAAAUACUCUCUAGUGACCGAUAGUGAACCAGUACCGUGAGGGAAAGGUGAAAAGUACCCCGGAAGGGGAGUGAAAUAGAACUUGAAACCGUGUGCUUACAAGUAGUCAGAGCCCGUUAAUGGGUGAUGGCGUGCCUUUUGUAGAAUGAACCGGCGAGUUACGAUUUGAUGCAAGGUUAAGCAGUGAAUGUGGAGCCGUAGCGAAAGCGAGUCUGAAUAGGGCGUUGAGUAUUUGGUCGUAGACCCGAAACCAGGUGAUCUACCCAUGACCAGGUUGAAGUUCAGGUAACACUGAAUGGAGGACCGAACCGACUUACGUUGAAAAGUGAGCGGAUGAGUUGUGGGUAGCGGAGAAAUUCCAAUCGAACCUGGAGAUAGCUGGUUCUCUCCGAAAUAGCUUUAGGGCUAGCCUCAAGUGAUGAUUAUUGGAGGUAGAGCACUGUUUGGACGAGGGGCCCUUAUCGGGUUACCGAAUUCAGACAAACUCCGAAUGCCAAUCAAUUUAACUUGGGAGUCAGAACGCGGGUGAUAAGGUCCGUGUUCGAAAGGGAAACAGCCCAGACCACCAGCUAAGGUCCCAAAAUAUAUGUUAAGUGGAAAAGGAUGUGGCGUUGCCCAGACAACUAGGAUGUUGGCUUAGAAGCAGCCAUCAUUUAAAGAGUGCGUAAUAGCUCACUAGUCGAGUGACACUGCGCCGAAAAUGUACCGGGGCUAAACAUAUUACCGAAGCUGUGGAUUGUCCGUAAGGACAAUGGUAGGAGAGCGUUCUAAGGGCGUUGAAGCAUGAUCGCAAGGACAUGUGGAGCGCUUAGAAGUGAGAAUGCCGGUGUGAGUAGCGAAAGACGGGUGAGAAUCCCGUCCACCGAUUGACUAAGGUUUCCAGAGGAAGGCUCGUCCGCUCUGGGUUAGUCGGGUCCUAAGCUGAGGCCGAUAGGCGUAGGCGAUGGAUAACAGGUUGAUAUUCCUGUACCACCAUUAUUCGUUUUAAGCGAUGGGGGACGCAGUAGGAUAGGCGAAGCGUACGAUUGGAUUGUACGUCCAAGCAGUGAGAUUGAGUGUUAGGCAAAUCCGGCACUCUUAAGAUUGAGCUGUGAUGGGGAGAGGAAAUUGUUUCCUCGAGUCGUUGAUUUCACACUGCCAAGAAAAGCCUCUAGCUAGAAUUGUGGUGCCCGUACCGCAAACCGACACAGGUAGUCAAGAUGAGAAUUCUAAGGUGAGCGAGCGAACUCUCGUUAAGGAACUCGGCAAAAUGACCCCGUAACUUCGGGAGAAGGGGUGCUCUUUAGGGUUAACGCCCAGGAGAGCCGCAGUGAAUAGGCCCAAGCGACUGUUUAUCAAAAACACAGGUCUCUGCUAAACCGUAAGGUGAUGUAUAGGGGCUGACGCCUGCCCGGUGCUGGAAGGUUAAGAGGAGUGGUUAGCUUCUGCGAAGCUACGAAUCGAAGCCCCAGUAAACGGCGGCCGUAACUAUAACGGUCCUAAGGUAGCGAAAUUCCUUGUCGGGUAAGUUCCGACCCGCACGAAAGGCGUAACGAUUUGGGCACUGUCUCAACGAGAGACUCGGUGAAAUCAUAGUACCUGUGAAGAUGCAGGUUACCCGCGACAGGACGGAAAGACCCCGUGGAGCUUUACUGUAGUCUGAUAUUGAAAUUCGGCACAGCUUGUACAGGAUAGGUAGGAGCCUGAGAUACGUGAGCGCUAGCUUACGUGGAGGCGUUGGUGGGAUACUACCCUCGCUGUGUUGGAUUUCUAACCCGCACCAUUUAUCAUGGUGGGAGACAGUGUCAGAUGGGCAGUUUGACUGGGGCGGUCGCCUCCUAAAGAGUAACGGAGGCGCUCAAAGGUUUCCUCAGAAUGGUUGGAAAUCAUUCAUAGAGUGUAAAGGCAUAAGGAAGCUUGACUGCGAGACUUACAAGUCGAGCAGGGUCGAAAGACGGACUUAGUGAUCCGGUGGUUCCGCAUGGAAGGGCCAUCGCUCAACGGAUAAAAGCUACCCCGGGGAUAACAGGCUUAUCUCCCCAAGAGUUCACAUCGACGGGGAGGUUUGGCACCUCGAUGUCGGCUCAUCGCAUCCUGGGGCUGUAGUCGGUCCCAAGGGUUGGGCUGUUCGCCCAUUAAAGCGGUACGCGAGCUGGGUUCAGAACGUCGUGAGACAGUUCGGUCCCUAUCCGUCGUGGGCGUAGGAAAUUUGAGAGGAGCUGUCCUUAGUACGAGAGGACCGGGAUGGACAUACCUCUGGUGUACCAGUUGUCGUGCCAACGGCAUCGCUGGGUAGCUAUGUAUGGACGGGAUAAGUGCUGAAAGCAUCUAAGCAUGAAGCCCCCUCAAGAUGAGAUUUCCCAACUUCGGUUAUAAGAUCCUCAAAGAUGAUGAGGUUAAUAGGUUCGAGGUGGAAGCAUAGCGAUAUGUGCAGCUGACGAAUACUAAUCGAUCGAAGACUUAAUCAAAUUUUA
rnacentral:rRNA from 1 species